UUUGAUUUUUAGAGAAAUGAGAGAUGGAUAUCAAGAGAGAUCCCAAUCGGUAAGUUAAUUUCUCUACUAUGGUAAAAACCUAUUCAAUGGUUUAAUCUUGAUCAACCCUUUUAGCUUGAUUUUUAGAGAAAUGCGAGAUGGAUAUCAAGAGAGAGGGAGAUAUCUACUAUGGUAAAAACCUACUCAAUGGCUUUAGAGAGAUGAUAGAUGGAUAUCAAGACAAAAACCUACUCAAGGGCUUUAGAGAGAUGAUAGAUGGAUAUCAAGACAAAAACCUACUCAAUGGCUUUAGAGAGAUGAGGGAUGUAUAUCAAGAGAGAGGGGGAGAUCUAGCAUGAGGAUUCCACCCCUUGUAUGGAGAGAGAAUUCUUAAAGAGAGAGAAGAUAAUACGUAUGGAGUUUUAUGAGGUCAAAAAUUUCAUUUUAUAGAUUUUCUUUGCCAUAUGUUUUGUAUCAAUUUGUAUCUCAACCGUCGAUCUAGUGGGACUUAUGAGGUGAGAUAUUUUAGCCAUCUAUCUUGUUUCACCAUUAAGAUUCAAAAAGAUGAGCUAGAGCCUUAUCCUCCAUUUUUUAAAUCUAUUCCCAUCAAAUAAGAAAAAUUUAUAUUUUAAUAUAUCAAAUCCUUAAUUAUUAGAUCAACAAAUCUUAAAGUUUAUAUUUUAAUAUAUCAAAUCUUUAAUUAUUUGAUGAACAAAUCUUGAUACAAAGAUUUAGUAAAUAUUUAAAAUAAUCAACCUUAUCACAUAAGUUAUAAUAAAUAUCUCAAAUAUUCAAGUGUGCCAAGAUAUGGUACCAUCCCCAUAAAGAAAUAGAUAACCCGAAGUGGAUCUCGAGUCAUCUGGUUCUCCUUGAUAGUCAGAGUCUGUGCAUCGCAAAACUUUAUGCUCACUCACAUUGCCAUAGGUUAAUCCAUAAUCAAAUGUUCCUUUCAAAUACCUCAUGAUUCUUUUCACACCUUUCCAAUGUUCUAAUCCAAUAUCACUUUGAAAUCGACCAAUCAAGCAUUGAGCAAAAGCUAGAUCGGGUCUAGUUCACAUGGUUAAAUACAUUAGUGAUCCUACGACACCUCGAUAUGGGAUCAUUUCCAUCUCAUUUCUCUCAAGAUCAUUGUUUGGUUUCAUAUUGACAUUUAAUUUUCCUCCUUCCACAGGUGUAUCUAUAGGCUUGGAUUCACUCAUACCAAAUCUCUUAAGAACUUUAUUGCAAUAUGUAGAUUGAGAUAAUUAAAUAGUGUGGGCUGCUCUAUCUCUUAUAAUAUGAAUCCCUAACACAUACGAAGCCUCUCUCAUAUCUUUCAUAUCAAAGUUACUUGAUAGCAUUGCCUUUGUAUCCCUUAUAUGGUUUAGGGUGCUACUAGCUAUUAGAAUGUCAUCCACAUAUAAAGUCAUGAAAGUAAUGCCAGUCCCACUGGUCUUAUGGUAUAUACAAUGGUCAUCCUCAUUUGGUUUGAAUCUAUAUCUAAUCAGGGUUUGGUGGAACUUGAGGAACUGUCUUCUUGAAGCUUGUUUGAGACAUAAAGUGAUUUGUUUUUGUUAAGUUUGUACACGAACCUUUACUUUCCUUUCACAAUAAAACCCUCUAGUUGGUUCAUGUAUAUAUCCUCGUUUAGGUCACUAUUUAAUAAGGCGAUUUCCACAUCCAUCAAAUACUUUAGUCUCAGUGUGUCACUAAAUUUCCAGAAGUUUUUCAUCAUGUUUUUAUUUUGGGGGUUCAUAAUCUUUUCAUACAAGACUGUUUUGGUGGUCCGAGGGACCACCGUGUGUAGUUUGGUCAUAACUCUCUUGUUCUUUAUCCGAUUUGAUUCAAAUCUUUUGCAUUAUGUUUGGGAUGAUAAUGCCAGUACGUUGAUAUCUUAAGAAGUGAUUUUAAGGUGUGUAAUGUCUUCCCAUUUGUAUUAGACACUCUUGUGAUAUUGAACCACUUUUGUACAAUCCGAAAGGACAAAAUUAAGUUCUUAUAAGGCCCGAUUGCAUAGCCCUGGCACAAGGGGUUCAAAACAUUGCUUCUUGAUUUUAAUUUGGCAUUCUAAUUCCCUGUUUAGUUGAUUUUAUUCCUUAUAAUUUUGUUUAGACUAAUUGUAUGUUGUAUUUAAGCUUUGGGACAUAGUUUAUGUAAUUUAUGCUAUGAAAAUGUAAUUUAUAAGCUAGUUUUGCUUUAUAUGUAAUUGCCCAAUAAGGGGUUGGUAUUUGAGUUUAUUUAGAGUGGUUUUACAAAGCUAGAAACAUAUAAUUGUUAUUUAAAGGAUUCUAACUUGUUCACUUAGCUUGGUUUUAAGCAAGUAGCUUGUUUUGCCUUGUUUUUCGGCUUUGAAAUUUGCUAUCGUUUUUGUAUCUACUAGAAAUUAAAAAAAUAAGGCAAUUAAGGGGAUAAACAUUCUUUCCAAGGUGGGGCGUGCCACCUUUUUGGUGGUCACAUGUGGGCCCCACCUAAUCCACAUGGUUUUAAAUUUUUGGGCCCCAUAUUUUAUGGAGUUCCCAUAUUUUUAGAAAAUAUUUUAUUUCAUAUUUAGAAUUUUAAAAUUUAUUUAAAACAUUAGAAAAUUAAUUUUUCUUAAUUUAUAAAUCUAAAUGACGAAAAUAAAAUAUCAAAAAAUUCACAAAAAAUCAAAUAAACAUUAUAAAAAUCACUUAACAUAAAAUUAAUUAAUUUUGAUAGGAAUCAGAUCCGUUAGAUCUAGGAAAUUAUCAAUACAUAGGAGCACUACACAUUCUACUGCGAAUCACGAUCCGUCUAGCUUUCUCAAAUUGACCCAACAGUUCCAUGACCUACAGUCCACUGCAGAGGCUCAUCAUUGGACCACUAAAGUCAGCCAAUAGACUAGAGGAUGCAAUCCCGAUUUAUGGAUUUCAGGUUCUCCCCUAGAGAUAAAAUCAUGGUCUUCCAGACCAUGAUGCAACCAUGACUCUAUGAUGCAUAGGGGUAAUCUCUCGUACAUGUACACGCUUCACCCUCAUAGGCGAAUCUCAAAUGAUUAUCUAUGUACAUGUCAUGUGAUGAUAUAACGAUGAGGUUUUAGCCUUGUCUCUAAAGGCUAUUCAUCACACGUAAGGGCCACACGGCCCCUCAGCUCUCAUAACCCACUAAACUCUUCCAUAUGCCUAGGUAUCUUGGGUUUUUCCAAACUUCGGUUAACCUAGCUCGUCGAGCCUAGUUCGAGUAUUAGCAAAUAACAUUUGCCUAGUAUGGUCCACAAAAGGAUCACACUCCCACUAAGUUUAUGUUUUAUUUAUUAAAUAUGUUUUAUACAGUGUCUUAUAAGGCCAACAUUCAUGCCUAUCGUAUGGUACACCAAAACGCACUCCUUCACCGACUGUUUAUCAUUGAUGGUGGAGAUGAUCAAAACCUCUACUUUUUGUGUGCUAGUUGCAGCCACCUUAAAAGUCGUAUUUGUUUGUAGCAUUAUAGAAGGGGGCAGUCAUCUUUUUCCUUGAUAAUUCAUUCAUAAGUAUUGCACAAGGUUUCAAAAAAGGCUAGGCGGCUAGCCUGGCGCCCAAAACCUCAAAUGCCCUGUAGUACAAAUUCUUUACAUGUAUAUAUAUAUAUAUAUAUAUAUAUAUAUAUAUA
rnacentral:lncRNA from 1 species